rnacentral:rRNA from 1 species
UCAUCACCUGAUGGAAAGUUGAAAGGUGGCUUCUUGCUACCACUUACAGAUGGGCCCGCGGCGCAUUAGCUAGUUGGUGAGGUAACGGCUCACCAAGGCAACGAUGCGUAGCCGACCUGAGAGGGUGAUCGGCCACACUGGGACUGAGACACGGCCCAGACUCCUACGGGAGGCAGCAGUAGGGAAUCUUCCGCAAUGGACGAAAGUCUGACGGAGCAACGCCGCGUGAGUGAUGAAGGUUUUCGGAUCGUAAAGCUCUGUUGUUAGGGAAGAACAAGUGCCGUUCGAAUAGGGCGGCACCUUGACGGUACCUAACCAGAAAGCCCCGGCUAACUACGUGCCAGCAGCCGCGGUAAUACGUAGGGGGCAAGCGUUGUCCGGAAUUAUUGGGCGUAAAGCGCGCGCAGGCGGUCCUUUAAGUCUGAUGUGAAAGCCCACGGCUUAACCGUGGAGGGUCAUUGGAAACUGGAGGACUUGAGUACAGAAGAGGAGAGUGGAAUUCCACGUGUAGCGGUGAAAUGCGUAGAGAUGUGGAGGAACACCAGUGGCGAAGGCGACUCUCUGGUCUGUAACUGACGCUGAGGCGCGAAAGCGUGGGGAGCGAACAGGAUUAGAUACCCUGGUAGUCCACGCCGUAAACGAUGAGUGCUAGGUGUUAGGGGGUUUCCGCCCCUUAGUGCUGAAGUUAACGCAUUAAGCACUCCGCCUGGGGAGUACGGCCGCAAGGCUGAAACUCAAAAGAAUUGACGGGGGCCCGCACAAGCGGUGGAGCAUGUGGUUUAAUUCGACGCAACGCGAAGAACCUUACCAGGUCUUGACAUCCUCUGCAAUCGGUAGAGAUACCGAGUUCCCUUCGGGGACAGAGUGACAGGUGGUGCAUGGUUGUCGUCAGCUCGUGUCGUGAGAUGUUGGGUUAAGUCCCGCAACGAGCGCAACCCUUGAUCUUAGUUGCCAGCAUUUAGUUGGGCACUCUAAGGUGACUGCCGGUGACAAACCGGAAGAAAGGUGGGGAUGACGUCAAAUCAUCAUGCCCCUUAUGACCGGGGCUACCACCGUGCUACAAUGGAUGGAACAAAGGGAAGCAAAACCGCCGAGGUCAAGCAAAUCCCAUAAAACCUUUUCCAGUUCGGAUUGCAGGGUGCAAUCCCCCGGAUGAAACCGAAUCCCUAGAAUACCGGAAACACAUGCCCGCGGAUAAAUUUCCCGGGCCUUGAACAACCA